UAACUGAAGAGUUUGAUCAUGGCUCAGAUUGAACGCUGGCGGCAGGCUUAACACAUGCAAGUCGAGCGGGGGAAGGUAGCUUGCUACUGGACCUAGCGGCGGACGGGUGAGUAAUGCUUAGGAAUCUGCCUAUUAGUGGGGGACAACAUCUCGAAAGGGAUGCUAAUACCGCAUACGUCCUACGGGAGAAAGCAGGGGAUCUUCGGACCUUGCGCUAAUAGAUGAGCCUAAGUCGGAUUAGCUAGUUGGUGGGGUAAAGGCCUACCAAGGCGACGAUCUGUAGCGGGUCUGAGAGGAUGAUCCGCCACACUGGGACUGAGACACGGCCCAGACUCCUACGGGAGGCAGCAGUGGGGAAUAUUGGACAAUGGGGGGAACCCUGAUCCAGCCAUGCCGCGUGUGUGAAG
rnacentral:rRNA from 1 species